rnacentral:rRNA from 1 species
UACGGAGGGGGCUAGCGUUGUUCGGAAUUACUGGGCGUAAAGCGCGCGUAGGCGGCUUUGUAAGUUAGAGGUGAAAGCCCGGCAGCUCAACUCCGGAAUUGGCCUUUAAGACUGCAUCGCUAGAAUCAUGGAGAGGUUAGUGGAAUUCCGAGUGUAGAGGUGAAAUUCGUAGAUAUUCGGAAGAACACCAGUGGCGAAGGCGACUAACUGGACAUGUAUUGACGCUGAGGUGCGAAAGCGUGGGGAGCAAACAGG